rnacentral:piRNA from 1 species
UGUCCUUUGCUUCCUCCGUCCUCGCU